GCCAUGCCGCGUGGGUGAAGAAGGCCCAUCGGGUUGUAAAGCCCUUUUGUUGGGAAAGAAAAGCAGUCGGUUAAUACCCGAUUGUUCUGACGGUACCCAAAGAAUAAGCACCGGCUAACUUCGUGCCAGCAGCCGCGGUAAUACGAAGGGUGCAAGCGUUACUCGGAAUUACUGGGCGUAAAGCGUGCGUAGGUGGUGGUUUAAGUCUGUUGUGAAAGCCCUGGGCUCAACCUGGGAAUUGCAGUGGAUACUGGGUCACUAGAGUGUGGUAGAGGGUAGCGGAAUUCCCGGUGUAGCAGUGAAAUGCGUAGAGAUCGGGAGGAACAUCCGUGGCGAAGGCGGCUACCUGGACCAACACUGACACUGAGGCACGAAAGCGUGGGGAGCAAACAGGAUUAGAUACCCUGGUAGUCCACGCCCUAAACGAUGCGAACUGGAUGUUGGGUGCAAUUUGGCACGCAGUAUCGAAGCUAACGCGUUAAGUUCGCCGCCUGGGGAGUACGGUCGCAAGACUGAAACUCAAAGGAAUUGACGGGGGCCCGCACAAGCGGUGGAGUAUGUGGUUUAAUUCGAUGCAACGCGAAGAACCUUACCUGGUCUUGACAUCCACGGAACUUUCCAGA
rnacentral:rRNA from 1 species